AUUGAACGCUGGCGGCAGGCCUAACACAUGCAAGUCGAACGAGUGGCGGACGGGUGAGUAAUGUCUGGGAAACUGCCUGCUGGAGGGGGAUAACUACUGGAAACGGUAGCUAAUACCGCAUAACAUCAGAUGUGCCCAGAUGGGAUUGGCUAGUUGGUGUGGUAACGGCUCACCAUGGCGACGAUCCCUAGCUGGGCUGAGAGGAUGACCAGCACGCCUGUAACUGAGACACGGUCCAGACUCUUACGGGAGGCAGCAGUGGGUAAUAUUGCACCAUGGGCGCAAGCCUGAUGCAGCCAUGCCGCGUGUAUGAAGAAGGCCUUCGGGUGGUAAAGUACUGUCAGCGGGGAUGCGUUACCCGCAGAAGAAGCACCGGCUAACUCCGUGCCAGCAGCCGCGGUAAUAC
rnacentral:rRNA from 1 species